CCCGCUGAACUUAAGCAUAUCAAUAAGCGGAGGAAAAGAAACUAACAAGGAUUCCCCUAGUAACUGCGAGUGAAGCGGGAAAAGCUCAAAUUUAAAAUCUGUCAGUCUUUGGCUGUCCGAGUUGUAAUCUAGAGAAGUGUUAUCCGCGCUGGACCGUGUACAAGUCUCCUGGAAUGGAGCGUCAUAGAGGGUGAGAAUCCCGUCUUUGACACGGACUGCCAGGGCUUUUGUGAUGCGCUCUCAAAGAGUCGAGUUGUUUGGGAAUGCAGCUCAAAAUGGGUGGUAAAUUCCAUCUAAAGCUAAAUAUUGGCGAGAGACCGAUAGCGAACAAGUACCGUGAGGGAAAGAUGAAAAGCACUUUGGAAAGAGAGUGAAACAGUACGUGAAAUUGUUGAAAGGGAAACGCUUGAAGUCAGUCGCGUCGACCGAGACUCAGCCUCGCCUUGGCUUGGUGUACUUCUCGGCUGACGGGUCAGUGUCAAUUUUGGGCCUCGGAUAAUGACAAGGGAAAGGUGGCACCUUUAUAGGUGUGUUAUAGUCUCCUGUCGGAUGCGAGGGUCGGGAUUGAGGAACUCAGCACGCGCCUUUUGGUGUCGGGGCUUCGGCCUACGCUACGUGCUUAGGAUGCUGGCAUAAUGGCUUUAAACGACCCGUCUUGAAACACGG
rnacentral:rRNA from 1 species